rnacentral:rRNA from 1 species
AUACGAAGGGGGCUAGCGUUGUUCGGAAUUACUGGGCGUAAAGCGCGCGUAGGCGGACUGAUCAGUUGGGGGUGAAAUCCCAGGGCUUAACCCUGGAACUGCCUCCAAUACUGUCAGUCUUGAGUUCGGGAGAGGUGAGUGGAAUUCCUAGUGUAGAGGUGAAAUUCGUAGAUAUUAGGAAGAACACCAGUGGCGAAGGCGGCUCACUGGCCCGAUACUGACGCUGAGGCGCGAAGGCGUGGGGAGCAAACAGGAUUAGAAACCCUGGUAGUCC